rnacentral:tRNA from 1 species
UGGGAUGCUACAUUGCUAAUGGUCGGGAUAGCUCAGCUGGUAG